UCUGCAGGUCUGAGAACGGUGUUUGGUUACGAUCCUGGGUUGGCAGCUCCAGGGUGAAGUCCCUCACACCUCCCAGUGCCAGAGGGCAGGUCUGUGGGAUGGGAGGAAACUCACAGGGUCCCUCCUACUGCACCAGCCAAGCAAGAGCUCCUUCUCUCGGCUCUCCUGGGAGCUCGGUUUCUUUUCUCCCUCUUUCUCCUUCUUUCAGCACAUCUUUUGUUUGAAUGUUUUUGAGCAUUUUAUUCCUUGCCCAUAGCCCUUGUUGUAUUCCUGGAGUCAGCAGCGCGGAUGUUCCAAUUCCCAUUUGAGCCAGCCCCUCCAGAGACUCAGCAUGACCUCGCAGACAAGCCAGAGGCCCACGGGCCCAUUCAAAACCCCGCCUUGCCCCACAUUUCCCCCGUGCCACUACUUACCUCUGCUCCCCACCCCACACCACAUACACCAAGGAGAGAGAGGGAUGGAACGUGACUGGGAUGGGGACCUUGCUGCUUUCUUGGGUGACAACAGGGCACAGAGUUGUGUUGAGUCUACAUUCAAGGACUCACGGGAGAAUGACAGAAACCUCCCACUGUGCAUGUCCAGAGGCUGGGCCCUUUCUCAAAGGCAGGGCUGGAUGUUCCUUGCGUACUUCCUGAAUAAGGGCCACUAUCAAGAGCUACAAAGAAUGUCCCCAACCACCACCUCUCAACAUCCUAAUCUGGAUUAGCACAAAUCGUAAUGAUCUGUUUGAUGACACACCUGCAGGGCCAAACCUAGAUCUUCUUAAGUAUCAUAGAUGCACGAUGGGUUUGGGGAAAGAAACUGAAGCCCCUGGUGUGCUAUGAGUACUAACUCCUAUGAAAAGAAACAAGGUGGUCUAGCUGGAGCGCACGUGCAGGCUCCCCACUGAGUCUCUGGCCUUGAAACACGUAUCUGGAGUCAGGCUUGAAUUCCAGCUCUGCAGCUUACUGGUGCAUGACCCAGCAGCUCACCUGGGGAUUUUACAGAGCUAAUUUCUCAAUGUAAUCGAUUAAGCCUGGAAAACAAACAAAAAAUAGUUGCUAAGAAACGUAAGGAGCAGUAAAAACCCUGGAGCUCAUUGUGAGCUGUUUACGGUUUUUCUUUCCUUUUCUUUUCUUUUUUGUUGUUUUGGACAUACUGUCUUCCUGAUUCACUUUUCUUACCCUCCCACAUUUCCAAUAAUUGUACCCAUUUUCAGUGAUGGGUUUAUUCUUUUUCCCCAACAUCAUUUGAGUCCUGACCUUUCCCACCUUGCCAAGGUCCCCUGAGCUUCACUGGAGCAGAUGGAGAAAAGAGGAUAGAAGGAAGCCCUCUAGGAAUUGUGAUGAGAUUGACAACUGGGCUUAGUACUAACCAAAAUGCUGGCUCCCUGGCACCCAGAGGGUGUGAGGUCCAAGCUGUGAUCAGCAUUAAGAUUGAAGACAUUAUUGCAAAGAGGCAGCAAAUGAGGUUGGCAAAGCAAAGAUGGGGCUCCACAGGUGCCUUGAAAAUAGUGAGGGGAUAGGCUAUAAGGCGGUGUAGAGCUGGGCUUAAACGUCACCUCUUCCACUUGUUAUCAGAGUGAGUUAUUUGGCUUCUCUAAACCUGAACGUUCUCCUCCAUGAACAUGGAAAUAAGGAAAUCUGUUUCCCAAUGCUGAGAUAGGAUUAAGUGUGGGAAGGCCCAGUAGAGGAUCUGGUAUGGGGAAAGCCACAAUAAAUGCCAGGCUCCUUCCUUGUUUAGCAGGGCUGAGGGGCUCUGAUGAAGAGAUCAGGACUGGGACAGCCAAAGGCUGAGUUGGCACUUGGGGAAAUCAGUUUUAACUCCCAGGUCUGGAUUUGGGCAGGCAGCUCUCACCUGCCAGACCCAAGGACGGUACCACUGUGCCUGUGUGAGCUGCAGAGGAAAUGCAGGAAGGAUGCAUAGUCCUGCUCGGGGCUCUUGCCAGGUCUUGGGAAGUCUUCUUUCUCCCUCCCCUCAUCCCCUCCUGGAGCCUCUUAAAGAAGGUUCUCCCACCAGAACUUCCGGGCGGGAAAAGACAGCAGGCUCUGAGCUGCUUUCAAGGGGCCUGUCAGAAGCAUCUUUGUGUACAUGAGGCCCAGAGGGAGAAGACUGUUUAUCCGGCUGCUAGGGACAAAUUAAUGAAGUGGUGAAAGGCUGUGGAUCAGAGAGAAAAAGAUUGCCCAUGGAAUGAUGAGAUUAGGUUAGACGAGAAGGAUGCAAUUGUGCCAGACCAACUGAAUUUCCUCUGAGGUUAGCACGACCAGCCUUCCAGACCCGGAGGCAACCAGGGCACAGGGCUUGGUGAUGGAUGCCUGGCGUGAUCCUUUCUCUGGAAGCUCUUGGCCAGGGUUGCAGGUACCAUGGCCACCAGGCUGGGGUGAGAGGUGCAUGUGCACCCUCAGAGUGCAGGGCAGAGAGAGGACCGCAGAAGAGGGAGCAGGGGAGGGGCAGCUCCACAUGUGAUGUACGCUGGGACAGCACAUCUGGGCAUAGGCAUCUUGGACUGAAAUUCCUACUCUAAAAAAAUGUCCUAGCACCAUCUUCUUUUCCUUCUUAGCACUGAAUACAACUGAUUUCAUGUUGGUUUUGUUCAAUUCAGAUCAUCCUCAGCCCUGUCAAUGGCACACCCACCCCCGAGUCAAGCAAAACCUUGAUUCACCCUUAAUUCUUUUCUUCCUCUCACCUCACACGCAAUCCAUCAGCAAAUCUUGUCUGCUCUUUCUACACAAUAUAGUCAGGACCUGUCUGUCCUCUUCUCUUCAUCUCCUCUGCUUGCCAGGCCACCAUAAUUCCUUGGUUGGGCUACAAAACUCGCCUGCUCCUUGAUCUGUCCACCGCCUCUUUCUCCUCAUAAUAGAGUCCACACCGUCAGAGUGAGGAAGGAGUCCUGAAAAUCGGAUCAUGCUGCUGCCUUGCUGAGACCUUUCUCAGCUUCCCCCUGUUCUGAUGACCUCAAGGCCCCAUAUAGCCAGGACUCUGCCACACUCCACAGCCCAAAGUCAUCCCCUCUGUCACCUAGCUCACUAUGUUCCCACCCCCUCUGCUCUGCAAUGUGCGGCGCAGCUCCUGCCCUGGGCUUCGGCACCUGCUGCUUCCUCCUUCAGGGCUGCUCCGCUCUAGGCCUUCCCAUGUCUGGCUGCUCCAUGUCGCUAGGGACCUAGCUCCAUCACCACCUUCUUCGAGAGCCUUUUAGCAUCCAAUCUAAGGUAGCACCCACUGCUCCAGUGGGAACUCCAUCCUGUCUUGGCUUCUUUCCAUCUCUUAUCAAGAGUGGCUGUCAGGUUGGUUGUUUAUUUCCCUGCUGGUGAUGCAUUCACUUAUUGUCGAUCUCCCCUCUACAGAACACACCCUCCAGGACAGCAGCCCGUCUUGCCUUCCUCUGAAUACCCAGCAUGUGGACCCACAGUAGAGACUCUAAAAAUCUUUCUUGACCAAGAUUCUGACGAGGCAAUGGCAAGAAAGGCUGACACUUUGCACAUCCUUCACAAUCUUCUGCAAGGAUGGCUUAGAAUCGUCCUGCGUGGAGGAAGGAACAACCUUUGACCUUAAGACCCCACUAGCACCUUGAUCCUCUACCUUAAAGAUGGAAACGGCUUGGCAGAGGUUGUGUUACUAGGCAAGGUCUUGCUACAAUUGAAAGGAUGCCACCAGAGAUGAAAACCCUACAUACAUCUCUGCCACCAAAAGAAGACUUUGGAAUCAGGCAUGAUGCAACCAAAGAUUCUUACUGCCCUCCAGCCCCAGGGCUGCGGAGUGACCCAGGGAAGGCAAGAUGCAGCACACAGCUAAUAAUCCACAUGUAACCAGCACACCAAAAGCAUCCAGUGAGUGAGUUAAAACCAUGCUUCUAUCUAUCCCCCAGGAGUGGACAGACAAGUCUGCCUAGAUUUGAGGCGGGGAAAAGAGGUCUAAAUUUUCACAAGAAUUAACUUCUUUUUCCUACAAAGAGACAAUGAGGUGUUU
rnacentral:lncRNA from 1 species